GACGGAGGGUGCUAGCGUUGUUCGGAAUUAUUGGGCGUAAAGCGCGUGUAGGCGGCUUUGCAAGUCGGGUGUGAAAGCCCUCAGCUUAACUGAGGAAGUGCGCCCGAAACUGCAGAGCUUGAAUACCGGAGAGGAUGGCGGAAUUCCCCAAGUAGAGGUGAAAUUCGUAGAUAUGGGGAGGAACACCGGUGGCGAAGGCGGCCAUCUGGACGGCUAUUGACGCUGAGACGCGAAAGCGUGGGGAGCAAACAGG
rnacentral:rRNA from 1 species